AGAUGGGUCAGUGGGAGGCCAUGCAGGGUGGUCCCCUCCAGAGAGGACACAAUGAGAACAUCCUCUCCCCAGGAGGUGCCCGGCAUCAGCUUCAUCUCUUGAGGAUCAAGAAUGACAACAUCCACUCACGUCAAGAUAAUCCACACACAGACCGGUGGGACAAUCGGUUUCUUCAUCUCCUCAGUAAAUCCUUUGUAAGGGCUACGAUGUGCCCAACACAACAUCAACACGCAGCCCGCCUUCGGGGAGCCCCAGCCAGGGGCGCUGGGCAGACAGAACACCCCUGGCAUGCGGAGCCUCAUGGAGCCAAUCUUGUUUUUGCUGCCCACCACCCUUUUCAAUUGGAGAGAACUCCGGCAGUGACGAUGGCUUUGCUGGAACCCCCGCAGCAGACAGCCCUGAGAUCAAGCACCACCCUGAGACAUGCAAUUUGGAUGGAGCAGAAAGAGAAUAGACAAGGCCCAGGGGAUUUAAAUGCUACGAGGGAGGGGAAAUGACAAUAAACAAGGAAGCAGACACGUCAACAAGAGAGCAUCAUAAAAGAGGGGACUGUCCUUUUACUCGGAGGCCCCACAGUCACAUCAGGAGGCUGGAGUCUGGCUUUUGUGCUCAGAAGAGAACUUACCAGCUCGAUAACUUUGCAGUCUACAGGGCAUGGCGACCGGUCGCACCAGUUCUGGAGACGGAGAGUCCAGGGUCGAGGUGCUGCCGACUCGGUUCCUGGGGAGAGCCGCUCCUGGCUUGCAGAUGGCCUCCUUCUUGCUGCGUCCUCGCCUGGCAGAGAGAGCAUCUUCCUCAAGUCUUGUCUUAUCUGGGCACCGAUCCCCUCAUGGGGGCUCCACCUUCACCACCUAACCACCUCCCAGAGGUCCCACCUCCCAACAUGCUCGCAGUGGAGAUUCGACUUCAACUUACGAAUCCAGGAGACACAGGGUUCGGCCCGCUGCACCAGGAUUAACCCGCCGCCCUGGCACUCUUCUUGUCCCCGCUGACUGCUGCGCUGCAGGGUCCUCAGACUCGGCGGGCACAAGAAUCCCCAGGCUGUGAGCCUCCCAGGAAGGUAUGCUGCUGGGCCUGCCCCCCAAUUCAGAUUCAGGAGGACUCAGGGACCUGGAAAUCUGCAUGCCUGACAAGCCCUCCACAUCACUCUAACGAAGUGGUCCAUGCAGCACACUUUGAAAAACGGCGUCUAGGGUGUUGGGGAUGCUCCACUUCUGUGUCAUGAGCUGUCAUUUCCUUGAACUCAGAAGCAUUUUGCAACAUACGAAGAGCCAUGUAAAUAAAAACAACUUAGUGUCAGCCAUGUGCCAGACACAGUCAUCGUUCAUCUCAUUUGUUACCACAGCAACCCAAGGAGGUCGUGCCGGCCUCCGCUUGCUAGGCUGCUAGGCUGAGGCUCCAGAAGUUACAGAUCCUGCCCCAGAUCACGCAACACGCAAAUACCCAGGUGUCGCCCACCGAGGUGCUCGGACCCACGACGCCUCAGGCCUCUCCGUUGGUUCACGACGCCCUGCGGGUCCAGAACCAAGGUCAACCCAGGGCAGGCAAUCAGGAAUGAGACUUCGCAGUUUCAUCUGGACUCAGGCAAGUACUAAAUGGCGAGCAGACGGUGGACCACGGACAGGGACUGUGCUGGCCUUGGGCAGGUAGCAACUCUCUGCCUCAGCAGCCUCCUCUAUGAGGCAGAAAUCGAAUGCCGACUCCACAGGGCUGCUCGAGGAUUGCAACACGUGUCCAGAGCCCAGGACACAGGAAGCGCUCCGCGAGCAUAGUCAUUGGGACCGUGGCAGAUGCGGCGACUGUUGUGGGAGGUUGAGAUGUCUUCGCUUAACAAGGUGGCUUCACUGAUACAGAUGUGGGCUUCCUUUAAGCUUUUAAACUAGUUAAUUGGCUGUUGAAAACAUUUUAAAGAUUAAGUAGUAAAAAAAAUUCAUUUCUAGUUAAUUAGCAACUCACUCUAUUAUUAGUUUUCAACCCGUAAUUUUUACAGCCCACGCUGCUCUCUUCUGCUCCGUCCUAUGACUCGUCACCAUCUCACCCAGGGUUGCUCUGUUUCCUUGUGACACCUCGUUGGCAAUGUUGUUACUUAAGUGUGCGAAGCAUUAUGGGAUACGUUUGGAACGAAAGUCACUUUGCGAACAGAAAUGAAGCUGACAUACGUUGCAUUCAGACCUCUAGUGGGGACCACAGGGGGGACAAGGGAGAAGAGCUCAUGGAUGCCCUUGGUUGUGGGCUGAGAAAAACCGCCUCUCUCCCUGCCUGGUUGACCAAGAGGAUGUUACUGAGAGAAUCUCCCUGGGGAGGGAAAGAGUCCUUCCUUGCUUAUGAUGCAAACUGAAAAUGAAAAGAUAACACGAGAGCAGAGUUCCUCGGCUUCUCCGUUCUGCUCCUCUCAGGGACCACGAAAGAGACACACAGACUCUUUGCAAGUUCUAUUUCCACAUCUGUAAAAAUAAGAAUUUGUUGGUGGUGGAGGAAGUGAGAGGAAUGGGGUCAGUCCCUGCUGUCCAGAUAGAUUUGGGGCUGGGGCAUACCAGCUGACGGAUUUGAAAAACAAACCAAGAGCGGAGAUGCUUUUAAUCAAAGAGACAAACUCAAGAGUAGAACUACAAUUGACCGCAAACCUGCUGGGAGCCACUCUUUGGCAAGUGGUGGGGGAAGGGCAGCUGGGCGUGUUUGGGGACCCUGGUUACAGGAUUAAAGGGUUUUGCUCACUUCUCUCCACUGGGAUGUCCAGGGCAGCUGCCAGCCCAUAUGGUCCCCUUGUGCAAGUUAGGAAACACGUUCCCUCAGAGAGGGCUGCUCCACACCUGGCGGUUGAAAUAGGGGCAGCCGGGCUGCAUUUAUACCCUAUGCUGAGCCCAGCGGAUGCAGAGAGAGAGAGAGAAGCCAUGUGUGGUAUGCAGGGGGAAGUGCCCUGUCCCCCUUCAAGGAAGGACCGCCCAGCUAUGUGAGCAUCCUCCACGAGGUCAUGCCUUCCCGGGGCAGCUGGCAUCGGUGACUGAGCCACGCUGGGGCACUAAAAUCUGGCUCCUCGGGCUCAAGGCAGGAUGCUCUGUGGGGCGCACCUGCUGCAGCCCCCGCCAGCGCCUGCGUGGACUUCUCCCUCUGCCCAGCCCUGCUUCCCCCAUCUUUGACUUCCAUCGACAGGUGUUGGUCCCUAAUAAACAUGUCCGACCACAAAUUCCAUGUCAGCACCUGCUUCUUAAGAACCCAACCUGCAUCUCCACAUCCUGCCCUUUCAGUCCAGUUGGGGAGACAGACAUCAGCAAAAGAAUCUGGAACAUAUAUGAAAAAUUGCAGCUAAAAUCUCUGGAAAAGGGGAGCUGCCUGAUGGUGGAAG
ensembl:lncRNA